UGAGGAAUAUUGGUCAAUGGGCGCAAGCCUGAACCAGCCAUGCCGCGUGCAGGAAGACGGUCCUAUGGAUUGUAAACUGCUCUUAUUUGGGAAUAAACCUCUUUACGUGUAGAGAGCUGAAGGUACCAAAUGAAUAAGCACCGGCUAACUCCGUGCCAGCAGCCGCGGUAAUACGGAGGGUGCAAGCGUUAUCCGGAAUCAUUGGGUUUAAAGGGUCCGCAGGCGGACCUAUAAGUCAGUGGUGAAAGCCCGUUGCUCAACAACGGAACUGCCAUUGAUACUGUAGGUCUUGAAUUCGGUCGAAGUGGGCGGAAUGUGACAUGUAGCGGUGAAAUGCUUAGAUAUGUCACAGAACACCGAUAGCGAAGGCAGCUCACUAGGCCUGGAUUGACGCUCAUGGACGAAAGCGUGGGGAGCAAA
rnacentral:rRNA from 1 species